AGAAUCAACGCUGGCGGCGUGCCUAACACAUGCAAGUCGCACGAGAAAGUGGAGCAAUCCACGAGUAAAGUGGCGCACGGGUGAGUAACACGUGAAUAAUCUACCUCCGAGUGGGGAAUAACUGAGAGAAAUCUUAGCUAAUACCGCAUAAUACCCACGGGUCAAAGCAGCAAUGCGCUGGAAGAGGGGGUCGCGGCUGAUUAGCUAGUUGGCGGGGUAAUGGCCCACCAAGGCGAAGAUCGGUA
rnacentral:rRNA from 1 species